GCCCUAUGGUGGAGGAUAACCCCGGGAAACUGGGGAUAAUACUCCAUAAGUCAGGAGUACUGGAAUGUCUCCUAACUGAAAGUUGCGGCGCCAUAGGAUGAAUCUGCGGCCGAUUAGGUAGUUGUUGGGGUAACGGCCCAACAAGCCUGUAAUCGGUACGGGUUGUGGGAGCAAGAGCCCGGAGAUGGAAUCUGAGACACGAUUCCAGGCCCUACGGGGCGCAGCAGGCGCGAAUAACUUUACAAUGCAGGAAACUGUGAUAAGGGAACCCCGAGUGCCCGUAAACGCGGGCUGUCCCGGUGUUUAAAACACAUCGGAAGAAAGGGCCGGGCAAGACCGGUGCCAGCCGCCGCGGUAAUACCGGCGGCUCGAGUGGUGACCACUUUUAUUGGGCUUAAAGCGUUCGUAGCUUGAUUUUUAAGUCUCUUGGGAAAUCUUACGGCUUAACUGUGAGGCGUCUAAGAGAUACUGGGAAUCUAGGGACCGGGAGAGGUAAGAGGUACUUCAGGGGUAGAAGUGAAAUUCUGU
rnacentral:rRNA from 1 species